UCUAGUCUAUUGGAACAUUUCGUCAUAGAGGGUGAGAACCCCGUAUGCGACCGUGGCACGAGCCCAUGUGAAGCCUCUUCGACGAGUCGAGUUGUUUGGGAAUGCAGCUCAAAAUGGGUGGUAAAUUUCAUCUAAAGCUAAAUACCGGCUGGAGACCGAUAGCGCACAAGUAGAGUGAUCGAAAGAUGAAAAGCACUUUGGAAAGAGAGUCAAACAGUACGUGAAAUUGUUGAAAGGGAAGCGCUGGCAACCAGACCUGUCCGUGGGCGAUCAGCCGCUGUUCUCAGCGGUGCACUCGUUCUGCGAUCAGGCCAGCAUCGGUUUCGGCGGUCNGGAUAAAGGCCCGGGGNAACGUAGCUCCCUCUCGGGGGAGUGUUAUAGCCCCGGGNCGCAAUGCGGCCAGUCGGGACCGAGGACCGCGCUUCGGCUAGGAUGCUGGCGUAAUGGCAGCUUUGGGUGUCAAACCCAUGCGCGGAAUGAAAGUGAACGGAGGUGAGAACCCUUUAGGGCGCAUCAUCGACCGAUCCAGAUGUCUUCGGAUGGAUUUGAGUAUGAGCAUAGCUGUUGGGACCCGAAAGGUAAAUACAACCCCCCCUUAAAUGCAAGUAAUUAGAAUCAUAUGCUAACUUUUGAAAAGAUGGUGAACUAUGCCUGAAUAGGGUGAAGCCAGAGGAAACUCUGGUGGAGGCUCGCAGCGGUUCUGACGUGCAAAUCGAUCGUCAAAUUUGGGUAUAGGGGCGAAAGACUAAUCGAACCA
rnacentral:rRNA from 1 species